UCUCUUCCACAUGCAAUCUGUCAAGCUUGAACUUCUCCACAGCAUAGUGAAUUCAGGGUCCCAAGAAUGUUCCAAUAUACAAGCUUUCAGUGUGUAAGUUUCAAGGCUCUACUUGAACCUUAUUUGCUGGAAGUCUGCUGGGACUGUAUAACAUAAUGCCACAAAAUGUGGCUUAACCAACAGAAGCUGAUUUUCUUUUGAUUCUAGAAGAAAUCAUGAGUCUUUAUACUGAAGGUCAAGGUGCCUGCAGGUUGGUUAUCAUAAGGCCUCUCUCCUUGGCUUGCAGACGACUGACUUUUCACUAUGGCAUUUUCUCUGUGCACAUGUAUCCCUGGUGUAUCUUCCUUUCCUCUAAGGACACCAAUCCUACUGGAUUUUAGUCCUACCUUUAUGAACUAACUUACCUUUAAUUAUCGCCUUACAGGCCAUCUCUCCAUAUAUAAUCACAUUGAGGAUUAAGGCUUCAAUCUGUGCAUUUUGGGGGGACACAACUUAAUCCACAAACUUUGCUAGUGGUCCAUUGGGCAAAUAAAUGGCCAAGCUCAGAGCCAACAUGGAAAAGUACUACACUGGGGCAGGGACACUGGAAGCAUGGUUCAAUAGUGGUCCACCAAUAGCCUGCAAAUGAGCAAAGAUAAACAGCUACUCUCUGACAACCAUUUCUUUAUAUUUUUUAUAAUUUUUUUCUCUGAUAAAAGUCAGCAUGGCACAGGUUAUUUACGUUUCUAACUGCUUCACAAGGUACAUUUUAACAUACCACUUAGAGGUCAAAAUGGGCCUAUCAAACAAUUCAUAUGUAGAAAAGAGAAAUAAGGUGGCUAAAAGAUUAUUUAAGGCCAAAAUAAAGCUCUGUUGUUGCCAUUAUAGUAUUGUAGAGAUUAAGUAAGGCCUCAUGUUUCAGUGGCAGAAAUCAUCCUCAAUAAUUGAUCUAUUUUUUUUUUUAUUUUUGAAAUUUCAGUAAUUCUUGUCAAUGUCCUAGCCAAAGACCACUAGGAACAUAUCUGCAGUUGAGCAGCAAGUUGGUUUACUCAUUACAGUGAGGGCGGUUAUACACCAUGAAAUACUAUGGGCUAUGCUAAUUCUAACAGGGUAUUAUAACUUGUUAUUGUAUUUUGGCUUUUGUUGGGUGAUUUGGGGAAGAAUCCAAGGAAUUGAGGGUUUUCUAUAGAAUGGCCUUUGUCAGAGAGAGGACAAUUCUAUGAUUGGGUUCUGAACACAUUUUUCAGGAGUGUAGACUAGAGUAAGACUAAAACAGAGAUUGGUAAAGCACCAAUUGGCUGGGAGUGGGGAAUGUUUGGAAUUUUGUGCUUGGACAGUGUUCAUGUUCUGCCUAUUUAGACAUAUUUAUGGAAUGGGUUUGUUUUUGCCUUGAUACGCCAUGGACACAACGUGGUCUUGUCUGACAUCGAUGUUCUGCAUGAUUGUGUUCGAUAGGAGUCCACCACGGCCUUCCUGUCAGUGCUGUGCCAGUUUCUGGAUAUUAGGGCUGCCUUUUAUUUCUAAUUCUCCUUCCCUCAUUCCUUAGUUGAGGACUUAAACUUGGCUACCAGCUUCUGUUUCAGUAUAUUUAAGGUAAAUAUGUUUCACAGUACAAAUAAAAAGCUUUUGGGGGAUUAUCCAUAUUAGUUCCAAAAUUUAUUCUUUUAAUUUCCUGGACCAGACAUGGAGUGAACUUUGUGGAAUCCACAGAGGAAAUCCCUGCAUCUCUCUCUCCCCUCAUUUUGCAAGCACCCGCUCAUGUCUCCUCCAGGUUUCCAGAAUCCAAACUCUGCCGCUUAAGCACCACACUUAGCCUGUCCUUUUUAGCUGAGUGCUUUGGGCCUUUCCUCCUUAAUUACCCAUCAGGAUAUACUUGCCCUGCUUCAUUUCCUCAGUUCCCACAGCUGCAUAAAAAAUUUGGCUAACAAAUCCUUGUUAAUGCUUUAUUACUUUUUUAACACUUCAUGGCAAAUCCUGUUUCAUUGUGGCUUCCUGGAAAUAAUCAUUGACUUAAAAAUUUUGAGGCUUUUUGGACUGGAAAUGCAAGAGGGUUUUUGGCCAAAUAGAGCACAUUUUUCCCCCUCAAAUUUCCCAAACAAAGCUGAUGGCUUUCUACCCUGUUGGUCCUGAUUACAGACUAUUCCUUUUAUUAAAGCAGAGUGAGAAGAUUUGCUUAUUAAUGUUCUGCCAGGUCUUCAGAAGUAUAAACCCCAGCAGCCUCUUCUGGGAGGGGUGUAAAGGACACUCUGUACUUUGGAAUGCCAGUUUCUGAUAAAAGAUGGAGGAAAAAAAGUUUCAUUUUUUCAUUUGCUGAUUUUUCCAACAAUAGGCUAACUCUCUCUAAAUCAUACCUUUGAUGUAUCUGAGAUAUGGAAUUAUUCUGAUUUUAGUGCAAAGUCCAAAUAGUUACUUAACUCAACAGAUGGUUAUUAUCAUUCCCUUCAACAAAAAUUUGAUCUCUCUUAUCAAAAAGUAAGUGUUCUGUGGAGAGGUUUCAAAGAAUAAAAUUGCAAUAUUUGUAGCACAAUUAAUUAUUUUUAUCAUUACGCUUAACAUCAAAGAGUAUUUCGCACUCACCCUGAGAGUACCAUAUGGCUUCCAUAACUAUUAGACUUUGUUCCAGGGAUGAAAAAUUUAAAUAGUUUUACUAAUGAGUAAUGUAUUUAGCAUGUGUGUUACAGUGAUUUCUAGUGGUUACUGGAAGUUAACUUCUGGCAACACAGACUGAAGUAAAAGGCUUUCAAUUGCUGCUACAGUAAAACAGAUGAGGUGGGUCCCAUCACUGGGGAUGUUGGCUCUGUGUGAAGAGUAACGAUGGGUAGAUAACUAUCAAAGCUAUUAGAACAUUCAUGUAAUUCCUCACAUUCUUAGAAAAGAAAGAUGCCUUUGCUAUGGCUUUUAUAUAGAAACUUCCAAUAAAUAAUAAUGGAGACUACUGGAGAGAGAGAGCCAAUCAUUGAAAUUUAUAUUGUGUUUCAAAUACUUUUUUCAUUACUAACUAAUGCAGUAAAUCUGGGCAACUUAUUUAAGGAUGAGAAAAUACAAACUUCAUAAUGUAUUGGAAAUGAUAUAAAGCUCAGACCUAGCCGCCUAGAAAAAUGCCAGGUAAAAAUAUGCCUCAGAUCCACCUGUGUCCCUGCAUUUUUCACUGACUACAGCAAUACCAGUAUUACAGAGAAAAAUCUGUUGAUAAGCUUAAGAGCCUUCAACAUGUAUACUGUUUGAUCUUUACAAAUAAAUAAGCCUAACUCAAGGGCAAGGUAAUUGUUCCAAAUUGAAUUUUUUCGUCCCAUAAUUCAUAUGGUGAAGUCCUAACCCCUAGUAUCUCAGAAUAUGACCUUAAUUAGGCAGAACAUCAUUGCAGCCAUAAUUAGUUAGGAUGAGAUUGUGUUGGAAUAGUGGGCCCCUAGUUCAAACUGGAUUCCUUAUUAAAAAGGGAACAUUUGGACACAGAGACAUGCACACAGGGAGAACGCCAUGUGAAGAUAAAAGCAGAGAUUGGAGAGAUGCUUCUAAUAGCAAGAAAUGCCAAAGACAGUCAGAAAACCACUAGUGGCUAUGGGAGAAGCAUGGAAAAGUUUCUCUCUCACAUGUCUCAGAAGGAAGCAAUCCUAGUAAUACCUUGAUCUCAAACUUCUAGCCUCCAGAACUGUGAGAGACAAAUUUCUGUUGUCUGAGUUCCUCAGUUUGUAGUAUGUUGUUAUGGUAGGCUUAGCAAACUAAUAUAGCAAUGCAAACAUCUCAUUUGUAUUUUUAUGUUAAAUAAUUGAACUUAUGACUUAAGGAACUGAGUAUAAGGAUUUUAUGUAACUUUCCAAGAAUCAAGUAAAUGACUUAAGAAAAAGUUAAAUUUUUACCAUAUAUUAUUUGUUAUUUGCCAUAGAAAAUGUAUGCAUCAAUAAGAUAAACUGACUUUUUGUUAUUUUAAUGUAAAUUUUACAGAAGUAUAUCACUGUGGAGGCAUGGGUUCCAAUCCCCAGCUCAGCACAGUGGGUCAGAGGAUCUGGUGUUGCCUCAGCAGUGGCAUAGGUUGCAGCUGUUGCUUGGAUUCAGUUCCUGGUCUGGGAACUUCCAUAUGCUGUGGGU
rnacentral:lncRNA from 1 species